rnacentral:lncRNA from 1 species
UGCAACCUCUUCGGAUCAACAUUUUCAGUCCUUUGGAGAUUAAAUGGAAAUAUGAAUAUUAAUGUUUACUUUUGUUGUCAUUAAAGCUAUUUCUUUCAUGGACAUCUAGCUCUACCAAUAACAUAAGGUGAAUGUACUGAACCGCAAAUUAAAAUUAUUUGCGUCCUCCAUAGUCUAUUCUUCUCUUUCCCUUGCUCAAACCAAACAUAGUGAUACUCUUAAGCUUGUUAAUUUGUUGGUUCUUGUACUUUGAUAAUCUUUAAUGAUCCAAGACUGCAUGAAUGUUGAUCAGGUGCAAUUUCAUGAACUUUGCAAGAAACAACAAAUGCCUUGAAUGUGAGGAACCGACCAAGGAGACAGCUGACAGGCGGGGAGUGGGAAUGCCCUCAGUAAACGCCAAGUCUUUGCUUAUGUAUUUCAGUCAUUAGUUCUUUGUAUUUCAUUAUCAUGUAGGAUAUGUCCUUUAUUAUUUUGUUGGUUUCACAGAUGUUAUUUCUUCAAUUACGGGAGAAAUGUGGUAUGCCUGAAAUGCGACUUCGGACGGCCAGCUGGGGUUUCACUUGGAACUACUCACUCCAGUUCAGCGACAGGGUACAGCGGGAACUCUGCGUAUGCAAAUGGUAUUGAUCCUAGGUUGGCUGAUAAUGAGGAGAAGGCACAGCGUUGGUUUUCCAAGGUUUCUCAGAUGAACAAUGCAUCUGAUAUCGAUAGUGCAGCGGCUGAUGAAGAUUUUCCUGAAAUAAUGCCAUUGAGGAAAGGAGAAAAUAAAUUUGUCGUGAGCACAAGGAAAACACCCUUGGAAAGGAGAUUGGCGAACUCCCAGUACAACAUGAACUUGGGUAACAAUGUUAUCCCAGAAGGUGAGACUUCGACUGGAGCUGCAAAUAAUAUUAUUGACACAUCAAUGAAGCAGAAUAUGGAUCAAAUAUCUCGAACUAGUUAUUUGGGUAUUGCUGCUGAUGAAAACACUGAGUCAGCUAUUUAUCAUAGAGGAAAAAGUUCUAACCAUGUUCCAUUUGUGCCAUUACCAACAGACAUGUUUGAUAAAAAGAAUCAAACUUCAGUAAUGGAUGAGAAAGUGAAUGAAAAAGUUGGUAUCUUUCACUCUCCUGAGGCUAGUCACCAAACAAGUUCAGCAAGUGUCGGCAAUGACUUUGGAAUGUCCGUGGAGAAGUUGCAGUCAAAUCGCUCAUUCAGCAAGGAUAAAGAGAGAGAACAAGCUGAGAAGUCAGCGAGCUGGUUCAAGAAAAUUGCGGAGCUACAUGAUGUCAAAGACUUACCUAGUGCCAUCUCUGAUGAUGACUUCCCAGAGAUUAUGCCAAUGCGUAAAGGAGAAAACAGAUUUGUAGUUAGCAAGAAGAAAGAUCGUUCUUUGACUUCUCCAAUGUACAAAAGACAAGUGGC